UGGGGAAUUUUGGACAAUGGGCGAAAGCCUGAUCCAGCAAUGCCGCGUGUGUGAAGAAGGCCUUCGGGUUGUAAAGCACUUUUGUCCGGAAAGAAAUCCUCUGGGUUAAUACCUCGGGGGGAUGACGGUACCGGAAGAAUAAGCACCGGCUAACUACGUGCCAGCAGCCGCGGUAAUACGUAGGGUGCAAGCGUUAAUCGGAAUUACUGGGCGUAAAGCGUGCGCAGGCGGUUUUGUAAGACGGAUGUGAAAUCCCCGGGCUUAACCUGGGAACUGCAUUCGUGACUGCAAGGCUAGAGUAUGGCAGAGGGGGGUAGAAUUCCACGUGUAGCAGUGAAAUGCGUAGAGAUGUGGAGGAAUACCGAUGGCGAAGGCAGCCCCCUGGGCCAAUACUGACGCUCAUGCACGAAAGCGUGGGGAGCAAACAGGAUUAGAUACCCUGGUAGUCCACGCCCUAAACGAUGUCAACUAGUUGUUGGGGAUUCAUUUCCUUAGUAACGUAGCUAACGCGUGAAGUUGACCGCCUGGGGAGUACGGUCGCAAGAUUAAAACUCAAAUGAAUUGACGGGGUCAUAGCUGUUUCC
rnacentral:rRNA from 1 species